AACGAACGCUGGCGGCAGGCUUAACACAUGCAAGUCGAGCGCCCCGCAAGGGGAGCGGCAGACGGGUGAGUAACGCGUGGGAACAUACCCUUUGGUUCGGAAUAACUCAGGGGAAACUUGAGCUAAUACCGGAUACGUCCGUAAGGAGAAAGAUUUAUCGCCAAAGGAUUGGCCCGCGUCCGAUUAGCUAGUUGGUGAGGUAACGGCUCACCAAGGCUACGAUCGGUAGCUGGUCUGAGAGGAUGAUCAGCCACAUUGGGACUGAGACACGGCCCAAACUCCUACGGGAGGCAGCAGUGGGGAAGUAUUGGACAAUAGGGCGGCCGAAAGGCCUCGAUCCAGCCACUGCCGCGUCGAGUGAUGAAGG
rnacentral:rRNA from 1 species